CAAGUCGCGUGCGCAGUCCGUAGCAAUACGGAUGGGCGCACGGCGCACGGGUGCGUAACACGUGGGCAAUCUGCCCUCCGAUGGGGAAUAACCCCGCGAAAGCGGGGCUAAUACCGCAUAACAUUCCUUGGACCACGGUUUGAGGAUUCAAAGCAGCAAUGCGUCGGAGGAGGAGCCCGCGCCCGAUUAGCUAGUUGGUGAGGUAACGGCUCACCAAGGCAAUGAUCGGUAGCUGGUCUGAGAGGAUGAUCAGCCACACUGGAACUGAGACACGGUCCAGACUCCUACGGGAGGCAGCAGUGGGGAAUCUUGCACAAUGGGCGAAAGCCUGAUGCAGCGACGCCGCGUGGGGGAUGAAGCAUUUCGGUGUGUAAACCCCUUUCGAUCCGGACGAAUGCCCGCAAGGGAGUGACGGUACGGAUAUAAGAAGCCCCGGCUAACUACGUGCCAGCAGCCGCGGUAAGACGUAGGGGGCCAGCGUUGUUCGGAAUUACUGGGUGUAAAGGGUUCGUAGGCGGUGCGGCAAGUCGGGAGUGAAAUCUUUGGGCUUAACCCAGAGGCUGCUUCCGAAACUGCUGUGCUCGAGUGUGGGAGAGGCGCGUGGAAUUGCAGGUGUAGCGGUGAAAUGCG
rnacentral:rRNA from 1 species